rnacentral:rRNA from 1 species
AGACCCGAAACCCGGUGAUCUAGCCAUGGGCAGGUUGAAGGUUGGGUAACACUAACUGGAGGACCGAACCGACUAAUGUUGAAAAAUUAGCGGAUGACCUGUGGCUGGGGGUGAAAGGCCAAUCAAACCGGGAGAUAGCUGGUUCUCCCCGAAAGCUAUUUAGGUAGCGCCUCGUGAAUUCAUCUCCGGGGGUAGAGCACUGUUUCGGCUAGGGGGCCAUCCCGGCUUACCAACCCGAUGCAAACUGCGAAUACCGGAGAAUGUUAUCACGGGAGACACACGGCGGGUGCUAACGUCCGUCGUGAAGAGGGAAACAACCCAGACCGCCAGCUAAGGUCCCAAAGUCAUGGUUAAGUGGGAAACGAUGUGGGAAGGCCCAGACAGCCAGGAUGUUGGCUUAGAAGCAGCCAUCAUUUAAAGAAAGCGUAAUAGCUCACUGGUCGAGUCGGCCUGCGCGGAAGAUGUAACGGGGCUAAACCAUGCACCGAAGCUGCGGCAGCGACACGUAAGUGUUGUUGGGUAGGGGAGCGUUCUGUAAGCCGUAGAAGGUGGCCUGUGAGGGUUGCUGGAGGUAUCAGAAGUGCGAAUGCUGACAUAAGUAACGAUAAAGCGGGUGAAAAGCCCGCUCGCCGGAAGACCAAGGGUUCCUGUCCAACGUUAAUCGGGGCAGGGUGAGUCGACCCCUAAGGCGAGGCCGAAAGGCGUAGUCGAUGGGAAACAGGUUAAUAUUCCUGUACUUGGUGUUACUGCGAAGGGGGGACGGAGAAGGCUAUGUUGGCCGGGCGACGGUUGUCCCGGUUUAAGCGUGUAGGUGUGUGU